rnacentral:rRNA from 1 species
GAUGAACGCUGGCGGCGUGCCUAAUACAUGCAAGUCGAGCGAACAGACGAGGAGCUUGCUCCUCUGACGUUAGCGGCGGACGGGUGAGUAACACGUGGAUAACCUACCUAUCAGACUGGGAUAACUUCGGGAAACCGGAGCUAAUACCGGAUAACAUGUUGAACCGCAUGGUUCAACAGUGAAAGACGGUCUUGCUGUCACUUCUAGAUGGAUCCGCGCCGCAUUAGCUAGUUGGUAAGUUAACGGCUUACCAAGGCAACGAUGCGUAGCCGACCUGAGAGGGUGAUCGGCCACACUGGAACUGAGACACGGUCCAGACUCCUACGGGAGGCAGCAGUAGGGAAUCUUCCGCAAUGGGCGAAAGCCUGACGGAGCAACGCCGCGUGAGUGAAGAAGGUCUUCGGAUCGUAAAACUCUGUUAUUAGGGAAGAACAAAUGUGUAAGUAACUAUGCACGUCCUGACGGUACCUAAUCAGAAAGCCACGGCUAACUACGUG